rnacentral:rRNA from 1 species
CCCUUAGAUGUUCUGGGCCGCACGCGCGCUACACUGAUGCAUUCAACGAGUUUCUUCCUGGUCCGAGAGGAAUGGGUAGCCUUUUGAAAGUGCAUCGUGAUAGGGAUAGACUAUUGCAAUUAUUGGUCUUCAACGAGGAAUUCCUAGUAGACGUAGUUCAUCAGACUGCAUCGAUUACGUCCCUGCCCUUUGUACACACCGCCCGUCGCUCCUACCGAUUGAAUGAUCCGAUGAAUAUCAUGGAUUGAGGAUGCAAGUAGGUUCACCUAUCUUCAUCUUCGAGAAGUGAAGUAAAUCUUAUCAUUUAGAGGAAGGAGAAGUCGUAACA